rnacentral:misc_RNA from 1 species
CUAUUUCUUUGUCUAGAACAAAACUUCCUUUGAGUAUUAACUAGGCAAACUCUUAACCUCCUUGAGGAAUUUGCUAGGCUGCUUCACCCAUCUGGCCAUCUCCCUAUAAAAACCCAACAUCCAGCAUUUAAUAAUCUCCCAUUCUUUUUUUUUUUUUCCCUUCUUGUGCAUAUGUUGUUUGUGUUUGUUUCUUAUCUAACAUGACCAAUAUACCCACCUCUCUCACAGACUCUUCCCUUGCCCUCUUCUCUCUCGCCAUUUCUGCAUCUGAUCCCUGGCCUUUCUCUCUUCUUCUCUAACCUUGUGUUCUCUCUUUCUUGAUUUUUGAUUUCCUUGUUCCUUGAUUUUUUUCUUGUUUUCUUGAUAUGGGGAUCAGUGGAGAUAGAAACCAUCAUCACUUGAAUUUCCAUGUCCAUUUGCCCCAUCUUCACUUUCAUCACCAAGGCAGCAGCAAGAAAGAGUUGAAAGAUAUCCCAAAAGGGUGCUUGGCGAUCUUGGUGGGACAAGGUGAGGAGCAGCAGAGGAUUGUAAUCCCUGUGAUUUACAUAAAUCACCCUCUCUUCAUGCACCUGCUUAAAGAAGCCGAGGAAGAGUAUGGUUUUGACCAGAAAGGCCUCAUCACUAUCCCUUGCCAUGUCGAGGAAUUUCGCAACGUUCAAGGGAUGAUCGACAAGGAAAAGCCCAAUCACGGCCACCACCAUGUUUUGUGCUUCAGGGUUUGAUUUUUAUCAUGUAACUGUGUAAAGUUUGUUCUCAAUUAAUCAUCCUUUUUCUUAUAUAUAUAUAUAUACAUAUACAUAUUUUUUUUCUUCCAAUAUUAUAUUGAAAAUGAUAAUGACGAAAUAUUGAAUGGAAAAAAGAAAGGAUGUUAUUGGGUUUACAAGUUCUCCAACGUUCUUGCAAUGUGAACACAACAAAAUAGAGUAGUAUGUGAACGUGUAGGAGACGGCUGGAACAUGGAAAGGGGCAAAGGGUUUACUUUGAGCCAUUUGAUUAUUAUUAUUAUUUCUUUCUGUCUAGUUGUUUCCCAUAUAAAGUUUAAUUUGUUUGUUCCAAUGUUUCGGCUAAAUUUUGAUGGGACUAAAACGCAAAUACGGAUAAGCAUAAAGUUUAUAUCCUCUAUCAAAUGAUUUUGCUUAAUUUUCUAACUUUUCUUAUCAUUGUUGUGAACACAAUUUAACUGGCUAUCGGCUUGAAUGUAGAUCUAAUGUGCUUAUUGACUUCUAAAACAGAUAAUUA